CCACCUCCCGAGGCUCCAGUCUGCGCACGCGCGCCCACCCGAGGCACCUCCCCUGCCCGGCCGCUGGCCCCGCCUCUAGACCACGCCCCCAUCCCGAGGACCCUCCCCGUCCGCCUCCGCGGGGCGGCGAGCAGGUUUCGGUUUCGCAAGGGCGGUGCAGGUACCCAGGGUGGCGGAGUUGGCCUGGCCGCACGAAAGCCCAAGGUCGUGUCCGGCCACUGAAGGGCAGGGUGGUCCUUGCUGACGCCAACCUCGAAGGUCAGACCCGGCCCCAGCUUGCCAGGGAGGGCCCGGUCCUUGGCGAAAGGCCAGAAAAGCUAUUUGAAUUCAUUUACUCUUGUGUUCAGAACUUUUACAUAUUGCAUGUCUAUGCAGGUCUCAGACCACCUCAGCUCUUGCUCAAUGACCAGAACUCCAGAAGAAAAGCGAUUCAGAUGCUGGUUGAGUGGGGCAGUAGGGGUGCCCAGCUUCCAGAAAGUGCAAGCUGGAGGAUCUCAGAAGAAAGGCAGGACUGAUGCCCACCCCGACCCUGUGUGCUACAGGAACAACAGACAGCUCACCCCCAUCUGCUAGAAGGCAUGAAGGAAGGAAGGGCCAAGGACGAGAUGUGGAGAGACUCACGUCCAUGGGACCAAGAAUCACAGGCAUCACAGUUCCCAAAAAGGGCUCUUUCCUGGCCCACGGGGCUCCAUACUGCAUGCAGGUCACCAGCUUCCUGCACACAGGCCAGGCUCUCGUGAGCUCUCUGGAGAUCCACUCUUCACAGUGACCCCCGCGCACAGUGCCCUGCUGUCCCCCUACUGAUGAAGGGGCGGAAGCUGCAAGGAUGCAUUCCGUCCAUGGCCACAUGCCCAGACAGGCCUGGGCAGCCUGCCUCUUCUCGCGCUCGGCCACUUCAUGCCACUGCCGCCACCUCCAACUGCCCCGGCCCUAAGCUGAGCCACACCGCCCUGCUACCUCAAGCCUGUGGUCAGCAUCACGCAUCAUACCUUCCCUCGGUCAAACUCUUCAUCCCAGUCAUCAACCACGGUCUCAGUCUGGGCCAGUCUGCUGUCUUCAAUAGCAUCCUGACUGACCGCCGACAUCUUGCCAUCCCAGGUCAGAACUACCAGGCAGACACAGGGCUCAGCACGAGUGCAGGUUCCCAGGUACCCUGUGGCUUCACUUCAAGAGUGUCAUUUACCAACUAGUCUACCCAUAAUUAGUCAACAAUUUUGAGUGCCACCUUGUGGUGAACAGAAGGACAAGAGGAGGACGGCUUGACGUCCAUGUGUGGUCGGUCAGCACAGAACCCCCAACACCACCCUCUUAGCUAAACGCUAAACCACGGCCACAGACUUCAGUUCUCUCCAAAACCACGCCCUCAUCUGAGAAAUAAAGAUGUCAUAUUCGGCCUCGAAGUCUGAAUAAAAACAUGCUCUGAGUAAGAAGUGACAUUACCUAGGUUGGAAGAGCUUGGUCACUCUGCCCCUUCCCUACCCAAGACCCAGCAUGUGCUGGGUUCCUCACCCUGCCCCAACCCUCAGAAGCAGCUGUUCUGGAUCCUGCCAUGGACAGAAGCCACCUUCGUGCCACGGCUGAGGGUUUAAAGAGGAUUCCAGCCAGUGUUGAGAUUCCUCUUCCCAUUCUCAAAGCCGAGCGAUGCCUGCCCUCCACACUCACAGUACACCAGGAUCCAAUCCACACCCUUCCCUCCUCCAAAACCAACCAAUCAAAGGCAAACAGAAG